rnacentral:rRNA from 1 species
UACGAAGGGGGCGAGCGUUGUUCGGAAUUACUGGGCGUAAAGGGCUCGUAGGCGGCCGACUAAGUCAGACGUGAAAUCCCUCGGCUUAACCGGGGAACUGCGUCUGAUACUGGAUGGCUUGAGAUUGGGAGAGGGAUGCGGAAUUCCAGGUGUAGCGGUGAAAUGCGUAGAUAUCUGGAGGAACACCGGUGGCGAAGGCGACAUCCUGGACCAACACUGACGCUGAGGAGCGAAAGCCAGGGGAGCAAACGGG